GCAAGUCGAGCACGAAAUCUCCUUCGGGAGUGAGUAGAGCGGCGGACGGGUGAGUAACGCGUAGGAAUCUACCCAGUGGUGGGGGACAACAGUCGGAAACGGCUGCUAAUACCGCAUACGCCCUACGGGGGAAAGCGGGGGACCUUCGGGCCUCGCGCCAUUGGAUGAGCCUGCGUCGGAUUAGCUAGUUGGUAGGGUAAAGGCCUACCAAGGCGACGAUCCGUAGCUGGUCUGAGAGGACGAUC
rnacentral:rRNA from 1 species